rnacentral:lncRNA from 10 species
UCCCACAUACACACACAGAAACACACACAUAUAUACUCAUACACACACAUAUAUAUACCUAUACCCACACACGUAUAUGUUCUAAGUCACAUCUUAAUAUAAGUUAGCUCUGAAAGCACAAGUCCUUAAAUACCCACUUGAAGGCACAGACUUGUUUCAGGACUGAGUCCUCUGCACUUGGCAUUCCCCUGUUUCUUCCCCACGGGCUCUUCCCAGGGCAUCGUCUUCCUUCCCAUCUACAGGGCUCAGCUCAAUUUCACCUACUCAGAGAGGCCACCUCUGACUCUUCUGUGAAGGAAAGGCCGCCUCCCACUCCUCUGCAUCUGUUUUCUCCAUAGCAGUUAUCACAGUCUAUAAUCCCCCUGUUUAUUUAUCUGUUGGUUGUCAGCCUUGCUCCUAGAUCCCAGAUUCUGGA